GACGAACGCUGGUGGCGUGCUUAACACAUGCAAGUCGAACGGAAAGGCCCUGCUUUUGUGGGGUGCUCGAGUGGCGAACGGGUGAGUAACACGUGAGUAACCUGCCCUUGACUUUGGGAUAACUUCAGGAAACUGGGGCUAAUACCGGAUAGGAGCUCCUGCUGCAUGGUGGGGGUUGGAAAGUUUCGGCGGUUGGGGAUGGACUCGCGGCUUAUCAGCUUGUUGGUGGGGUAGUGGCUUACCAAGGCUUUGACGGGUAGCCGGCCUGAGAGGGUGACCGGCCACAUUGGGACUGAGAUACGGCCCAGACUCCUACGGGAGGCAGCAGUGGGGAAUAUUGCACAAUGGGCGGAAGCCUGAUGCAGCAACGCCGCGUGCGGGAUGACGGCCUUCGGGUUGUAAACCGCUUUCGCCUGUGACGAAGCGUGAGUGACGGUAAUGGGUAAAGAAGCACCGGCUAACUACGUGCCAGCAGCCGCGGUGAUACGUAGGGUGCGAGCGUUGUCCGGAUUUAUUGGGCGUAAAGGGCUCGUAGGUGGUUGAUCGCGUCGGAAGUGUAAUCUUGGGGCUUAACCCUGAGCGUGCUUUCGAUACGGGUUGACUUGAGGAAGGUAGGGGAGAAUGGAAUUCCUGGUGGAGCGGUGGAAUGCGCAGAUAUCAGGAGGAACACCAGUGGCGAAGGCGGUUCUCUGGGCCUUUCCUGACGCUGAGGAGCGAAAGCGUGGGGAGCGAACAGGCUUAGAUACCCUGGUAGUCCACGCUGUAAACGGUGGGUACUAGGUGUGGGGUCCAUUCCACGGGUUCCGUGCCGUAGCUAACGCUUUAAGUACCCCGCCUGGGGAGUACGGCCGCAAGGCUAAAACUCAAAGGAAUUGACGGGGCCCCGCACAAGCGGCGGAGCAUGCGGAUUAAUUCGAUGCAACGCGUAGAACCUUACCUGGGUUUGACAUGGAUCGGGAGCGCUCAGAGAUGGGUGUGCCUCUUUUGGGGUCGGUUCACAGGUGGUGCAUGGCUGUCGUCAGCUCGUGUCGUGAGAUGUUGGGUUAAGUCCCGCAACGAGCGCAACCCUUGUUCACUGUUGCCAGCACGUUAUGGUGGGGACUCAGUGGAGACCGCCGGGGUCAACUCGGAGGAAGGUGGGGAUGACGUCAAGUCAUCAUGCCCCUUAUGUCCAGGGCUUCACGCAUGCUACAAUGGCUGGUACAGAGAGUGGCGAGCCUGUGAGGGUGAGCGAAUCUCGGAAAGCCGGUCUCAGUUCGGAUUGGGGUCUGCAACUCGACCUCGUGAAGUCGGAGUCGCUAGUAAUCGCAGAUCAGCAACGCUGCGGUGAAUACGUUCCCGGG
rnacentral:rRNA from 1 species